rnacentral:rRNA from 4 species
AAAUUGAAGAGUUUGAUCAUGGCUCAGAUUGAACGCUGGCGGCAGGCCUAACACAUGCAAGUCGAACGGUAACAGGAAGCAGCUUGCUGCUUUGCUGACGAGUGGCGGACGGGUGAGUAAUGUCUGGGAAACUGCCUGAUGGAGGGGGAUAACUACUGGAAACGGUAGCUAAUACCGCAUAACGUCGCAAGACCAAAGAGGGGGACCUUCGGGCCUCUUGCCAUCGGAUGUGCCCAGAUGGGAUUAGCUUGUUGGUGGGGUAACGGCUCACCAAGGCGACGAUCCCUAGCUGGUCUGAGAGGAUGACCAGCCACACUGGAACUGAGACACGGUCCAGACUCCUACGGGAGGCAGCAGUGGGGAAUAUUGCACAAUGGGCGCAAGCCUGAUGCAGCCAUGCCGCGUGUAUGAAGAAGGCCUUCGGGUUGUAAAGUACUUUCAGCGGGGAGGAAGGGAGUAAAGUUAAUACCUUUGCUCAUUGACGUUACCCGCAGAAGAAGCACCGGCUAACUCCGUGCCAGCAGCCGCGGUAAUACGGAGGGUGCAAGCGUUAAUCGGAAUUACUGGGCGUAAAGCGCACGCAGGCGGUUUGUUAAGUCAGAUGUGAAAUCCCCGGGCUCAACCUGGGAACUGCAUCUGAUACUGGCAAGCUUGAGUCUCGUAGAGGGGGGUAGAAUUCCAGGUGUAGCGGUGAAAUGCGUAGAGAUCUGGAGGAAUACCGGUGGCGAAGGCGGCCCCCUGGACGAAGACUGACGCUCAGGUGCGAAAGCGUGGGGAGCAAACAGGAUUAGAUACCCUGGUAGUCCACGCCGUAAACGAUGUCGACUUGGAGGUUGUGCCCUUGAGGCGUGGCUUCCGGAGCUAACGCGUUAAGUCGACCGCCUGGGGAGUACGGCCGCAAGGUUAAAACUCAAAUGAAUUGACGGGGGCCCGCACAAGCGGUGGAGCAUGUGGUUUAAUUCGAUGCAACGCGAAGAACCUUACCUGGUCUUGACAUCCACGGAAGUUUUCAGAGAUGAGAAUGUGCCUUCGGGAACCGUGAGACAGGUGCUGCAUGGCUGUCGUCAGCUCGUGUUGUGAAAUGUUGGGUUAAGUCCCGCAACGAGCGCAACCCUUAUCCUUUGUUGCCAGCGGUCCGGCCGGGAACUCAAAGGAGACUGCCAGUGAUAAACUGGAGGAAGGUGGGGAUGACGUCAAGUCAUCAUGGCCCUUACGACCAGGGCUACACACGUGCUACAAUGGCGCAUACAAAGAGAAGCGACCUCGCGAGAGCAAGCGGACCUCAUAAAGUGCGUCGUAGUCCGGAUUGGAGUCUGCAACUCGACUCCAUGAAGUCGGAAUCGCUAGUAAUCGUGGAUCAGAAUGCCACGGUGAAUACGUUCCCGGGCCUUGUACACACCGCCCGUCACACCAUGGGAGUGGGUUGCAAAAGAAGUAGGUAGCUUAACCUUCGGGAGGGCGCUUACCACUUUGUGAUUCAUGACUGGGGUGAAGUCGUAACAAGGUAACCGUAGGGGAACCUGCGGUUGGAUCACCUCCUUA